UGGGGGAAUAUUGCACAAUGGGCGAAAGCCUGAUGCAGCGACGCCGCGUGAAUGAAGAAGUAUUUCGGUAUGUAAAGUUCUAUCAGCAGGGAGAAGAAUGACGGUACCUGACUAAGAAGCACCGGCUAAAUACGUGCCAGCAGCCGCGGUAAUACGUAUGGUGCAAGCGUUAUCCGGAUUUACUGGGUGUAAAGGGAGCGCAGGCGGCGCGGCAAGUCUGAUGUGAAAGCCCGGGGCUCAACCCCGGUACUGCAUUGGAAACUGUCGUGCUAGAGUGUCGGAGGGGUAAGCGGAAUUCCUAGUGUAGCGGUGAAAUGCGUAGAUAUUAGGAGGAACACCAGUGGCGAAGGCGGCUUACUGGACGAUAACU
rnacentral:rRNA from 1 species